CAGAAGCACAGUGUUCAUUUCCAGCCAGUGGGAAAACAGAAAGUGAGUACCUGGAAGGCAACCAAAUUUCUUUAAGGAAAGUUUGCCUUUAACUGAAUGCCUCUAGCUGUGUGCCCUGCUAAAAUAUGGUGGAGUUGAGUGAAGGCUCUACAACCACAGAAAGAAGGAGAGAAAGAAUAUUAGGAGACAGUUAGCUGUCUCUUUCACGGACUGAAAAUAUAUUAAUAAUAAUCCACUCUACAGUGACAGUUAAAACUGGUCUGUUUUCUUUCUCAGUAAUUUAUCUAAAUAAUUCAGCAAUAUGUUUUCUUGCUUGAUGCAGAGGAUGCAGUUCAAAAGGUGCCAAGCAGAAUUUGGAUUUUUCAUUCAGUCUAUAGAUGAUGUUUGACCACAUAUGGAUUCUUAGAAACUUUGUUUUUUAGACUGUCCAAUACCCUUUGGAUUCAUAUCUCACCUACUGGGAAUUACCACACAAGGAUAAAAACUCCUUUAGGAUU
rnacentral:lncRNA from 10 species